AUCCCGAGUGCCAUCCGCUGAGGAAGGCUUUUACCCAGUCUAGAACGCUGGGGGAAUAAGGAGAGGGCAAGUCUGGUGUCAGCCGCCGCGGUAAUACCAGCUCUCCGAGUGGUGUGGAUGUUUAUUGGGCCUAAAGCAUCCGUAGCUGGCUAGGUAAGUCCCUUGUUAAAUCCACCGAAUUAAUCGUUGGAUCGCGGGGGAUACUGCUUGGCUAGGGGACGAGAGAGGCAGACGGUAUUUUCGGGGUAGGGGUGAAAUCCUAUAAUCCCGGGAAGACCACCAGUGGCGAAGGCUGUCUGCUAGAACGCGCCCGACGGUGAGGGAUGAAAGCUGGGGGAGCGAACCGGAUUAUAUACCCGGGUAGUCCCAGCUGUAAACGAUGCAGACUAGGUGUUUGGACGGCCACGUGCCGUUCUAGUGCCGCAGGGAAGCUGUUAAGUCUGCCGCCUGGGGAGUACGAUCGCAAGAUUGAAACUUA
rnacentral:rRNA from 1 species